CAUCUCCAGCUCAACCAGGUUUGCCUACCUCUAUAACUACUCCUUCUAUUCCUCUUCCACCACAAAGAACUCAUCUAAUGACUACAUGAUCCAUGAAUAAUAUAUUUAAACCAAAACAGCUACAUAUUGCUACUAAGCAUGUAAUUUCUUCGUCUUCAGAACCUCAUUCAGUUUCUCAAGCCUCGUAGGAUCAAAACUGGAG
rnacentral:lncRNA from 1 species